rnacentral:rRNA from 1 species
CGCAAUGGGCGAAAGCCUGACGGAGCGACAUCGCGUGAUGGAUGAAGUGCCUUGGUACGUAAACAUCUUUUAUCGGGGACGAAGUCAUUGACGGUACCCGAUGAAUAAGGGGCUCCUAACUCUGUGCCAGCAGGAGCGGUAAUACAGAGGCCCCAAGCAUUACCCGGAAUCACUGGGCGUAAAGGGUGUCUAGGCGGUCAUAUUAGUCUCUUGUUAAAUCCCCAGGCUCAACCUGGGGGCCGCAAGGGAAACGGUAUGACUCGAGAGCGCGAGAGGUGCAUGGAACUCAUGGUGGAGGGGUGAAAUCCGUUGAUAUCAUGGGGAACACCAAAGGCGAAGGCAGUGCACUGGCGCGUUUCUGACGCUCACACACGAAAGCCA